rnacentral:rRNA from 1 species
UACAGAGGUCUCAAGCGUUGUUCGGAUUCAUUGGGCGUAAAGGGUGCGUAGGUGGCAGGGUAAGUCGGAUGUGAAAUCCCGGGGCUCAACCUCGGAACUGCAUUCGAUACUGGCGUGCUUGAGGACUGGAGAGGAGACUGGAAUUUACGGUGUAGCAGUGAAAUGCGUAGAUAUCGUAAGGAAGACCAGUGGCGAAGGCGGGUCUCUGGACAGUUCCUGACACUGAGACACGAAGGCCAGGGGAGCAAACGGG